rnacentral:rRNA from 1 species
GUCUACGGCCAUGCCGCCCUGAACGUGCCUGAUCUCGUCUGAUCUCGGAAACUAAGCAGGGUCGGGCCUGGUUAGUACUUGGAUGAGAGACCACCUAGGAAUACCAGGUGCUGUAGGCA